rnacentral:lncRNA from 1 species
GGAAUCACGUCAAAUUGACAGGUCCUCGGAAGCCUUUACAGCAAUUCUUCCAAAAGUGAAAUAUCUGGGUCAUGUUCCAUGAAAAUAAUUCACAGUCCAAUAUCCAACUUCAAACGCAGCAGCUAGUGCUUAUAUGCACCCUCCUAAGGCAAAACUUAGGUAAAUACAGAAUAUGUAUCAUGUUACAGGGCUAAAAACCAUUCGGAUUCGACCAAAAUAAGGAUUAUCACUGCAAGAGAUUUAUCCCUCUCUUUUUCAAGAGUGACUUCUGUUAAGGAUAUGCUUUCUCAGAAUAUGCUUUCUCAAGGAUCAACUAAACUCAUAAUGUUAGUCGCAAUACACCAGUUGCUUCACAUUUUUAGCAAUCAUCAUAGGCUGCUGCUCAGCACCUCUCGAGCUCAUCUAGGCUACUCUUC